GUGCCAGCCGCCGCGGUAAUACGUAGGUGGCAAGCGUUAUCCGGAAUUACUGGGCGUAAAGCGCACGCAGGCGGCGCAGCAAGUUCGACGUGAAAGCUCCCGGCUUAACUGGGAGAGGUCGUUGAAGACUGCUGUGCUUGAGGCAAGGAGAGGGGUGUAGAAUUCCCGGUGUAGUGGUGGAAUGCGUAGAUAUCGGGGGGAAUACCAGUGGCGAAAGCGGCACCCUAGCCUUAGCCUGACGCUCAUGUGCGAAAGCGUGGGGAGCGAACGGGAUUAGAAACCCGCGUAGUCC
rnacentral:rRNA from 1 species